rnacentral:rRNA from 1 species
UAGGGAAUCUUCGGCAAUGGACGAAAGUCUGACCGAGCAACGCCGCGUGAGUGAAGAAGGUUUUCGGAUCGUAAAACUCUGUUGGUAGAGAAGAACGUUGGUGAGAGUGGAAAGCUCAUCAAGUGACGGUAACUACCCAGAAAGGGACGGCUAACUACGUGACCAG